rnacentral:rRNA from 1 species
AUUGAACGCUGGCGGAAUGCUUUACACAUGCAAGUCGAACGGCAGCACGGGGGCAGCCCUGGUGGCGAGUGGCGAACGGGUGAGUAAUACAUCGGAACGUGCCCGGUCGUGGGGGAUAACGUAGCGAAAGUUACGCUAAUACCGCAUACGAUCUGAGGAUGAAAGCGGGGGACCUUCGGGCCUCGCGCGAUCGGAGCGGCCGAUGUCAGAUUAGGUAGUUGGUGGGGUAAAGGCCUACCAAGCCGACGAUCUGUAGCUGGUCUGAGAGGACGACCAGCCACACUGGGACUGAGACACGGCCCAGACUCCUACGGGAGGCAGCAGUGGGGAAUUUUGGACAAUGGGCGCAAGCCUGAUCCAGCCAUUCCGCGUGCAGGACGAAGGCCUUCGGGUUGUAAACUGCUUUUGUACGGAACGAAAGGGCUCUGGCUAAUACCUGGGGCUCAUGACGGUACCGUAAGAAUAAGCACCGGCUAACUACGUG